UACGUAGGGGGCAAGCGUUGUCCGGAUUUAUUGGGCGUAAAGAGCGUGUAGGCGGUUUGGUAGGUCCGUUGUGAAAACUCGAGGCUCAACCUCGAGACGCCGAUGGAAACCAUCAGACUAGAGUCCGGAAGAGGAGAGUGGAAUUCCUGGUGUAGCGGUGAAAUGCGCAGAUAUCAGGAAGAACACCCGUGGCUAAGGCGGCCCUCUAGUACGGUACUGACGCUGAGACGCGAAAGCGUGGGGAGCGAACAGG
rnacentral:rRNA from 1 species